GCACCGGUCGUCUAACCUGGUAAGACGCUGCCUUUGUAACGCGGUGAUGUGGGUUCAAAUCCCAUCUGGUGCUC
rnacentral:tRNA from 1 species